AUUGAACGCUGGCGGCAGGCUUAACACAUGCAAGUCGAGCGCGCGGCGGACGGGUGAGUAAUGUCUGGGAAACUGCCUGAUGGAGGGGGAUAACUAGUGGAAACGGUAGCUAACAGCGCAUCCCAUCAUAUGUGCCCAGAGGGGAUUAGCUAGUAGGUGGGGUAAGGGCUCACCUAGGCGACGAACCCUAGCUGGUCUGAGAGGAUGACCAGCAACACUGGAACUGAGACACGGUCCAGACUCCUACGGGAGGCAGCAGUGGGGAAUAUUGCACAAUGGGCGCAAGCCUGAUGCAGCCAUGCCGCGUGUGUGAAGAAGGCCUUCGGGUUGUAAAGCACUUUCAGCGGGGAGGCGUUACGAACAGAAGAAGCACCGGCUAACUCCGUGCCAGCAGCCGCGGUAAUAC
rnacentral:rRNA from 1 species